CCUACGGGAGGCAGCAGUGAGGAAUAUUGGGCAAUGCCCGAAAGGGUGACCCAGCAACGCCGCGUGGAGGAUGAAGUCCUUCUGGACGUAAAGCCCUUUUCUGUGGGACGAUAAUGACGGUACCACAGGAAUAAGCCACGGCUAACUACGUGCCAGCAGCCGCGGUAAUACGUAGGUGGCUAGCGUUAUCCGGAUUCACUGGGCGUAAAGAGCGCGUAGGCGGUGUGCUAAGUUGGACGUGAAAGCCCCCGGCUUAACCGGGGGAGGUCGUCCAAUACUGGUGCACUUGAGGGUGGACGGGGAAAGCGGAAUUCCCGGUGUAGGGGUGAAAUGCGUAGAUAUCGGGAGGAACACCAGUGGCGAGGGCGGCUUUCAAGACCACUCCUGACGCUGAGGCGCGAAAGCGUGGGGAGCGAACGGGAUUAGAUACCCCGGUAGU
rnacentral:rRNA from 1 species